GAUGAACGCUGGCGGCGUGCCUAAUACAUGCAAGUCGAGCGAACAGACGAGGAGCUUGCUCCUCUGACGUUAGCGGCGGACGGGUGAGUAACACGUGGAUAACCUACCUAUAAGACUGGGAUAACUUCGGGAAACCGGAGCGAAUACCGGAUAAUAUAUUGAACCGCAUGGUUCCAUCGUGAAAGACGGUUUUGCUGUCACUUAUAGAUGGAUCCGCGCCGCAUUAGCUAGUUGGUAAGGUAACGGCUUACCAAGGCAACGAUGCGUAGCCGACCUGAGAGGGUGAUCGGCCACACUGGAACUGAGACACGGUCCAGACUCCUACGGGAGGCAGCAGUAGGGAAUCUUCCGCAAUGGGCGAAAGCCUGACGGAGCAACGCCGCGGGAGUGAUGAAGGUCUUCGGAUCGUAAAACUCUGUUAUUAGGGAAGAACAAAUGUGUAAGUAACUAUGCACGUCUUGACGGUACCUAAUCAGAAAGCCACGGCUAACUACGUG
rnacentral:rRNA from 1 species